rnacentral:rRNA from 1 species
AGUGAACGCUGGCGGUAGGCCUAACACAUGCAAGUCGAACGGCAGCACAGUAAGAGCUUGCUCUUACGGGUGGCGAGUGGCGGACGGGUGAGGAAUACAUCGGAAUCUACUUUUUCGUGGGGGAUAACGUAGGGAAACUUACGCUAAUACCGCAUACGACCUACGGGUGAAAGCAGGGGAUCUUCGGACCUUGCGCGAUUGAAUGAGCCGAUGUCGGAUUAGCUAGUUGGCGGGGUAAAGGCCCACCAAGGCGACGAUCCGUAGCUGGUCUGAGAGGAGGAUCGGCCACACUGGAACUGAGACACGGUCCAGAGUCCUACGGGAGGCAGCAGUGGGGAAUAUUGGACAAUGGGCGCAAGCCUGAUCCAGCCAUACCGCGUGGGUGAAGAAGGCCUUCGGGUUGUAAAGCCCUUUUGUUGGGAAAGAAAAGCAGCAGGUUAAUACCCCGCUGUUCUGACGGUACCCAAAGAAUAAGCACCGGCUAACUUCGUG